UACGGGGGGGGUAAGCGUUGUUCGGAAUUAUUGGGCGUAAAGAGCGUGUAGGCGGUCCGGUAAGUCCGCUGUGAAAGUCCAGGGCUCAACCCUGGAAUGCCGGUGGAUACUGCCGGGCUAGAGUCCGGAAGAGGCGAGUGGAAUUCCUGGUGUAGCGGUGAAAUGCGCAGAUAUCAGGAGGAACACCGAUGGCGAAGGCAGCUCGCUGGGACGGUACUGACGCUGAGACGCGAAAGCGUGGGGAGCAAACAGG
rnacentral:rRNA from 1 species